CCUCUCUCAGGGUUCCACUUGGAGAGUUUCCAGUACUUUGCCAGUCUCAGUUAUAGGAGGGAGAGUCAAGCAGAGGCAUACCCAUUCCAUUCCUAGCUUGGGCAGUGACUAGAGAAUGGAAGGCUCUCUGCUACAAGU